GGACUAUUCCUUUGAAUGUAUUGGUAAUGUGAAGGUCAUGAGAGCAGCACUUGAGGCGUGUCACAAGGGCUGGGGCAUCAGCGUGGUGGCUAGAGUAGCCGCUUCAGGUGAAGAAACUGCCACUCGUCCAUUCCAGCUGGUAACAGGUCACACAUAGAAAGGCACUGCCUUUGGAGGAUGGAAGAAUGUAGAAAGUGUCCCAAAGUUGGUGUCUGAAUAUAUGUCCAAAAAGAUAAAAGUUGAUGAAUUUGUGACUCACAAUCUGUCUUUUGAGGAAAUCAACAAAGCCUUUGAACUGAUGCAUUCUGGAAAGAGCAUUCGAACUGUUGUAAAGAUUUAA
rnacentral:lncRNA from 1 species